GACGAGACAUUCAAAUGUAUCUCGGCCAUUGUAAAAUGGUGAAGAUGUUUUGGUUGUUUUGCCGACAGGUUAUGGGCUUAUUAUGGCAAAUAUUAAAAUAUUUCAGCUGCUACCUGACGUGUACGACAUGUUACUUGGCGCAUUAACUAAUUCUAUCGUGAUAGUCAUAUCUCCACAUGAAUGACCAAGGCAUUUCUGCAUGCAUGAUGUCACAGUAUGAUACAAGGCCAUUCUGUGCUACACUAUAUUAUGGUGAUGGCAGCGAUAUAUCAAAUUACCAUUGGAUCGACAUGAGAACCUGACGUAUAAGCUGUUCUAUAUGCACCCAGAAAUGUGUGUCUAUGGCAAGAAAAUACAAGCUUUUUUCAACUGUAUACUGUAAACCUCUGAAUAUAAUGCUCACCUCAUUCCAAAUAUAAGCCCCCCUGAAUACAAGUCCCUGAAUAUAAGCCCAGUAUCCCACUAUGUUAUUUAACAUUGACA